CAAAUUGUUGAGACUCUGACUCCAGAAGAUCAUUUCAUCAGUCCCCGGGGUACAACCGUUGGUGCUUCACAGUACGUGGUGUGAAUCUCCACAAGACGAACUGAGUGGACUUCUGCUUUAUUCCAGGCGUGCCUUAGUCCAGACUGAAUCGUCUGGACCCAGUUCCAGUGUGUCUCACAGUCUAGUGUGGAUCUCGGGCUUCUAGAACCAGCUUUGGGCAUUGGCAGGCAGUCCUGCACUGCUUUCCCAUGGCGUUCCAGGUUGCAACCUCCCAAGGAGUGAAAUGGAAACCGUCAGACAACUUCAUG
ensembl:lncRNA